rnacentral:rRNA from 1 species
UACGGAGGAUGCGAGCGUUAUCCGGAUUUAUUGGGUUUAAAGGGUGCGCAGGCGGAAGAUCAAGUCAGCGGUAAAAUUGAGAGGCUCAACCUCUUCGAGCCGUUGAAACUGGUUUUCUUGAGUGAGCGAGAAGUAUGCGGAAUGCGUGGUGUAGCGGUGAAAUGCAUAGAUAUCACGCAGAACUCCGAUUGCGAAGGCAGCUCACUGGACUGCAACUGACACUGAGGCUCGAAAGUGUGGGUAUCAAACAGG